rnacentral:rRNA from 1 species
UACGUAGGGACCAAGCGUUGUUCGGAUUUACUGGGCGUAAAGGGCGCGUAGGCGGCCACCGCAAGUCAGUUGUGAAAUCUCUGGGCUUAACCCAGAACGGUCAGCUGAUACUGCGGGGCUAGAGUGCAGAAGGGGCAACUGGAAUUCUCGGUGUAGCGGUGAAAUGCGUAGAUAUCGAGAGGAACACCUGCGGCGAAGGCGGGUUGCUGGGCUGACACUGACGCUGACAGCGCGAAAGCUAGGGGAGCGAACGGG